UUUGCUGUUCAGCGUUUGAGGUCAAGCGAUUUCCUUUUUGGUAUGUCUCACUUGAUGUUCCUCAAACUGAAGUGACAAACUUUGCACAGUUUCCUGCUAAGACAUCUUAGAUCAUGUUGUACAUGUUCAACUGCCAUUUUACAUGAUGGGUGAAUAUCAGUUGUAAACAAGUAUGGAGAAAAGACAGCGUGAGGAAACAUUAGAGGGCUCCAGAUCACAGAAGUCAACAUUAACAGGAACACUGACACUGAAGAACUUCACCAUACCCAGGAGGAAACGGACCUCAGUAGAAGUCCUUUUGGAAUGUUGUUCAGAGGAAAGCCGUGACUACAACCUCAUUCAGACAAAACUUAGAGAUGCCAAGCUGGACACUAGAAAGGACCGAGCAAAUGCAUGGGUCUGGAAAGAUGUUCAUUUAGUUAACAAUGAGGAGCUUCUUAAAAUGUUCUCUGAAAAAAGGUAAUGACAUAAAAUCUAACAACAACAUACAAUAACAUGCUGGCCAGUUGCUACAAUUUCCAGUGCAGUUGGAGGCCUUUCUCUUGUGGCUUUAAUCAUGUGGCACCUUCAAUGAUGAUGCUUUAUUUGUUAUCUUCUGUAGCUGUAUAUUCAGCAAUGAAAAUUAUUUUUGAUUCCACAAUAAAUGAACGUUGCUUUUCAUUGCAUAUCUGUCACGGCUCAACAAGUGACUACAGGGCAGAGAUGCGUACUAAAGGAAGACAUGGGAGAGAAAGGGAAGAAAUAUUUAGUUUUUUAGUAGCAUCGGACCAAAUGGCAGCCCAGAUUUAUCAGCACGGUUUACAGGUUGGCAGCACAGUCCAGUAUGCCUUGGGAAAGCCAUCACAUGGAGUAUAUCUCUUUAGGCAUGUCGAUGUGGCUCUAAGUUCUUAUACCAGCAUAUUAAGUGCAAAAAAAAAAAGGUUCUUGAUGGAAAGGUGAAAAAAAUUGCCCCAAGCCUGGAAUGGAACAAAACACAAGAUCCUACUGUGGGCUUUGACUGUCACAUGUGUAAAGAUGCAGUGUCCCAUCGAGACACUCUUCACCAGCAAUAUCAGAAUAUCAAAUUAUCCAAUCAAAAAGACUGGAUAAUCAACACGAGUCUUAAUAAACCAUUGUUCUUCUAGA